rnacentral:rRNA from 1 species
UACAGAGGUCUCAAGCGUUGUUCGGAUUCAUUGGGCGUAAAGAGCGUGUAGGCGGCUAGGUAGGUCCGUUGUGAAAACUCGAGGCUCAACCUCGAGACGCCGAUGGAAACCAUCUAGCUAGAGUCCGGAAGAGAGAGUGGAAUUCCUGGUGUAGCGGUGAAAUGCGCAGAUAUCAAGGAAGAACACCAGUGGCGAAGGCGGCUCACUGGUCCGGUACUGACGCUGAGGUGCGAAAGCGUGGGGAGCAAACAGG